AGUUGCCAGCACUCACGAAUUACAUUUACAAAAAUAUACACAUAAUCAAGGCAUAUAGAAGUCACUGAUUGACUCAUUUUGAUUGGACAACAAAUCGGUAGCCAGGGACGGCGGCCGUCUCUGAGACUUGCUGCUUAACAAGGCAAAGAUAUACAACUACACAGGCGUACAAUCAAAUACAGUAGAAAACUAGACUGAACUAAAAGGGCUGGAGCCUACAGGCCACCUAUGAGGGCGUGGGCUGACAGAAAAGGCGUGUUUUGAAUCAUUUUUAUCUCUUUGGAAGCAGUAAUAUUAACUCUAUUUCUUAUUCACGGCUCCUUUAUAAGAGCCCUAUCAGACGAUGAUAAACCCCGCUAUUACCGGGAAGCAGCUGUCCGUAUGCUACCAACUGCUCCCACCAGGCCGGCACCGAAAAAGAAGAUGAAAUAAAAAACUAAAAUCUGUUUUCAUUAAAAAUGGAACCAUUCAUCCAUGGACUUUAAGGCAGCGUGAGGGUUAGCCAGCGGUCUGCGCUGUACAUUACAUACGUUUACAUGUCCUAGUAGUAACUCAUAGAGUCCAUGGUUUAACUCUACUCCAACCCGCGGUCCGGAGUGUCUUUAAAGAUCCGUCCCUGUUGUGUGUGUGUGUGUGUGUGUGUGUGUGUGUGUGUGUGUGUGUCAUUGAGAAAGUGUCUAGUACGGGCACGUGGGUUCCAGUGGGUUGGAAACCCUGCAUUAAGAAGAAGUAACCUUCCGGUCAACUGCAACUCCCCAGCAGUGCCCCUAGCUCUUCCCUUGCU